GAUGAACGCUGGCGGCGUGCCUAAUACAUGCAAGUCGAGCGAACAGACGAUGAGCUUGCUCCUCUGACGUUAGCGGCGGACGGGUGAGUAACACGUGGAUAACCUACCUCUAAGACUGGGAUAACUUCGGGAAACCGGAGCUAAUACCAGAUAAUAUAUUGAACCGCAUGGUUCAAUAGUGAAAGACGGUUUUGCUGUCACUUAUAGAUGAAUCCGCGCCGCAUUAGCUAGUUGGUAAGGUAACGGCUUACCAAGGCGACGAUGCGUAGCCGACCUGAGAGGGUGAUCGGCCACACUGGAACUGAGACACGGUCCAGACUCCUACGGGAGGCAGCAGUAGGGAAUCUUCCGCAAUGGGCGAAAGCCUGACGGAGCAACGCCGCGUGAGUGAUGAAGGUCUUCGGAUCGUAAAACUCUGUUAUUAGGGAAGAACAAAUGUGUAAGUAACUAUGCACGUCUUGACGGUACCUAAUCAGAAAGCCACGGCUAACUACGUG
rnacentral:rRNA from 1 species